rnacentral:rRNA from 1 species
GCAAGUAGAACGCUGAAGGAAGGAGCUUGCUCUUUCCGGAUGAGUUGCGAACGGGUGAGUAACGCGUAGGUAACCUGCCUGGUAGCGGGGGAUAACUAUUGGAAACGAUAGCUAAUACCGCAUAAUAUUGAUUAUUGCAUGAUAGUCAAUUAAAAGGUGCAAUUGCAUCACUACCAGAUGGACCUGCGUUGUAUUAGCUAGUUGGUGGGGUAACGGCUCACCAAGGCGACGAUACAUAGCCGACCUGAGAGGGUGAUC